rnacentral:rRNA from 1 species
AACGAACGCUGGCGGCGCGUCUUAAGCAUGCAAGUCGAGCGAGAUUGGGGGCUUGCCCCCAUGAAAGCGGCGGACUGGUGAGUAACGCGUGGGUGAUCUGCCUUCGGGCCGGGGAUAGCCGUUAGAAAUAGCGGGUAAUACCGGAUACGUCUGCCGAACUAUGGUUUGGUAAAGAAAGGGGCUACGGCCCCGCCCGAAGAUGAGCCCGCGUCCCAUUAGCUUGUUGGCGGGGUAAAAGCCCACCAAGGCACAGAUGGGUAGCCGGCCUGAGAGGGUGAACGGCCACAUUGGGACUGAGAUACGGCCCAAACUCCUACGGGAGGCAGCAGCUAAGAAUAUUCCGCAAUGGACGAAAGUCUGACGGAGCGACGCCGCGUGGAUGAGGAAGGCCGAAAGGUUGUAAAGUCCUUUUGCGGAUGAAGAAUAAGUACGAUAGGGAAUGAUCGUAUGAUGACGUUAGUCCGUGAAUAAGCCCCGGCUAAUUACGUGCCAGCAGCCGCGGUAACACGUAAGGGGCAAGCGUUGUUCGGAAUUAUUGGGCGUAAAGGGCGCGUAGGCGGCCCUGUAAGUCUGGUGUGAAAUCCCCGGGCCCAACCCGGGAACCGCACUGGAAACUGCGGGGCUUGAGUCACGGAGGCGAGGCCGGAAUUCCUGGUGUAGGGGUGAAAUCUGUAGAUAUCAGGAAGAACACCGGUGGCGAAGGCGGGCUUCGAGCCGAUGACUGACGCUGAGGCGCGCAAGUGCGGGGAGCAAAGCAGGAUUAGAUACCCUGGUAGUCCGCACUGUAAACUAUGCACACUAGAUGUCGGGCCGCGCGGUUCGGCGUCGCAGCGAACGCGUUAAGUGUGCCGCCUGGGGAGUAUGCCCGCAAGGGUGAAACUCAAAGGAAUUGACGGGGGCCCGCACAAGCGGUGGAGCAUGUGGUUUAAUUCGAUGAUACGCGAGGAACCUUACCUGGGUUUGAUAUGCAGGGGAAAGGCGCCGAGAUGCGCCCCCGUGGAAACACGCCCCUGUGCAGGUGCUGCAUGGCUGUCGUCAGCUCGUGCCGUGAGGUGUUGGGUUAAGUCCCGCAACGAGCGCAACCCCUACUGCCAGUUGCCAUCAUUUAGUUGGGGACUCUGGCGGAACUGCCGGUGACAAACCGGAGGAAGGUGGGGAUGACGUCAAGUCAUCAUGGCCCUUAUGUCCAGGGCUACACACGUGCUACAAUGGACGGUACAGAGCGGAGCGAAGCCGCAAGGCGCAGGCGAAUCGCUAAAAGCCGUCCGUAGUUCGGAUUGAAGUCUGAAACCCGACUUCAUGAAGUUGGAAUCGCUAGUAAUCGCGCAUCAGCAUGGCGCGGUGAAUACGUUCCCGGGCCUUGUACACACCGCCCGUCACACCAUCCGAGUCGGAUAUACCCGAAGCCGGUAGUCUAACCGUAAGGAGGACGCUGUCGAAGGUAAAUUUGGUGAGGAGGGUG